rnacentral:lncRNA from 1 species
GGAUGAUUGAGCCAUGGAUCAGAUAUAAUGCAAUUUCAUUAGGACAUGCAUAUCUCUAGAAAAGGUCAAAAGAAUUUUAAAAAGUACAUCUCUAACAAAACGCAACAAAAAAAUAUCAAUAUAAUCACAACACAUAGGCACCACAUAAAAUUACCAUGGCACCACAAAAGCAUACAUAGGAUACAAAAAGGUUGGCUGGAAGCAAAGUAUGGAAUAGUAGUGACCAAAAUACAUCUCUCUAACAAAACCAAAGAAUCAAUAUAAUCAGUUUUUAGGGCGUCAAAAACAGCUCCAAAUAACAAACCAAGG